CGGACGGUAGCACAGAGAGCUUGCUCUCGGGUGACGAGUGGGGGACGGGUGAGUAAUGUCUGGGGAUCUGCCCGAUAGAGGGGGAUAACCACUGGAAACGGUGGCUAAUACCGCAUAACGUCUCAAGACCAAAGAGGGGGACCUUCGGGCCUCUCACUAUCGGAUGAACCCCCAUGGGAUUAGCUAGUAGGCGGGGUAACGGCCCACCUAUGCGACAAUCCCUAUCUGGGCUGAGAGGAUGACCACCCACACUGGAACUGAGACACGGUCCCCACUCCUACGGGAGGCAGCAGUGGGGAAUAUUGCACAAUGGGCGCAAGCCUGAUGCACCCAUGCCGCGUGUAUGAAAAAAGCCUUCGGGUUGUAAAGUACUUUCUGCGGGGAGGAAGGCGAUAUGGUUAAUAACCUUGUCGAUUGACGUUACCCGCACAAAAAACACCGGCUAACUCCGUGCCAGCAGCCGCGGUAAUACGGAGGGUGCAAGCGUUAAUCGGAAUUACUGGGCGUAAAGCGCACGCACGCGGUCUGUUAAGUCACAUGUGAAAUCCC
rnacentral:rRNA from 1 species